rnacentral:rRNA from 1 species
GAUUGUAGUCUGCAACUCGACUACAUGAAGCUGGAAUCGCUAGUAAUCGCAGAUCAGAAUGCUGCGGUGAAUACGUUCCCGGGUCUUGUACACACCGCCCGUCACACCAUGGGAGUCGGAAAUGCCCGAAGCCGGUGACCAAACCAAUAAGGAAGGAGCCGUCGAAGGCAGGUCUGAUAACUGGGGUGAAGUCGUAACAAGGUAGC